UGAAAUUGUAAAUGAAUUAUUUAUAUAAAAUAAUAAUUAAUUAAGAAAACUUUAUUAUCGCAUUAUUAAAUUUUUUUUUACUUUUUGUGCAGAAAUAUGCGAAUGGACUAUAUUGGAGCAAGCCAAGUACUAAAAUAUCUUCUAUUGGAAUGUCGGUAUUUUUGUUGAAAAAAUAUUAGUGACCAUGUAUUAGAAUGAUUAAUCAAGAGUUGAAUAUUUUAACUGUUUUAAAAUGAUACUUAGUUGGCUAUAUUUUGUUUAUUUGGAUUUGUAAAGAUAUUUUGAAUGAGAAAUACAUUUUUUUUUGUUUGUUUAUUUAUGUAUGAUGUUUGAUGAUAAUUUGAGUUGUUAAAUAUAAAAAAAUGUCAUAUAAAUAGUGGAUGGAUAUUGCUGCAGGAUUGAUUGCUGAAACUGCGACCAAAUUGUUCAUUGCUAAUAUAUAAUUGGUAGUAUAUAUUGACAGAUAAAUUUGCGACUAUAUUAUUGGUCGAAAAAUAUUUGUUGAACUAGUUAACUUGUAAUUAAAAUUGCGACAAACUAUUAUCGUCGCCAUAGUAUCAUAAAAAAAUAAAAUAAAAUAAUUAAAAAAUAAUGGCUUUUACUGACGAAACGAUAUUGUUGCAAUUAGGUUAUAUUUAGUUACGAAAAAUAUUAUUCAGAUGUAUAUUUAGCAACAAAUAAUUGGG
rnacentral:lncRNA from 1 species